GUCUCCCUUCAGAGAAGAACCCAUAUGUUUUUAAUGGUGAUUUUGUAGAUCGAGGAAAAAAUUCCAUAGAGAUCCUAAUGGUCUUGCUUGUGAGUUUUCUUGUCUACCCCAAUAACUUGCACUUGAACAGAGGAAACCAUGAAGAUUUUAUGAUGAAUUUGAGAUAUGGGUUCACAAGAGAAGUUUUACAUAAAUACAAGGUACCUACUGGGAUUUGUUUUAUUCUACUAUGGUACAGCAGGCAGACACAGAAAUGACUGUCAUGAAGAAAGAGAUUUUUAUUCCCAGUUACCUGGAAACAGUAGGCAUUGCAUGCCACACUGGUGUGGGGGGGAAUUACAUGGGGGAGUACCAGAGUCAGUCAGAAGGUGGAAGGAAUCAGGGAAAAGAUGGACAAAAGCAUUUACUGUGGUUUUCCUGGGAGGGAAAGGCAAGGUGUCUCGGGGUAAUCAGGCUUAAGAUUGACUAGUUAGAAUAAUGUCAGCCUGCUCUGGGGCAUAAAUAAGGGUUGUCCCUAGGUGUUUGGUACCUGGCCCUGGGGUGAUUAGUACCCCUGAGUGUGGGAGCUUAAUAAAAGAGGUCUUAGGAGCUGUGGGCUUUAAAUUGGUUGAUUUACAUAUGGGCAACAAGUCACUUAUUAUCUCUAGGAAUUAGUCCUGGGUGGGACAAUCUCUCCUCUAGGUUGGGCAAGCCCCCAAGAUGUCCAAGUAUCACUAAUACAAGCCAGGCUUAGUGCCAGUGGUUCACACCUGUAAUCCUAGCUGCUUGGGAGGCUGAGAUUGGGAAGAUUGGGGUUUGAUGCUCACCCAGGCAAAACUGUAGUGAGGCUCAAUGUUACCCAAUAGAUGGGCAUGGUGGCCUGUGUCUGUCAUCCCAAGCUGUGCAGGAGGAAGAGAUUGGAAGAACUGUGUAUCUGAGACAGCCCAUGCAAAAAAGUUUGCAAGACCCCAUCUCAAUGGAAAAAAAGCUGGGUGUGGUAGUAUAUACUUGUCAUCCCAGCCACCGUAGAAGUGUAAAAUAGGAGAAUCA